rnacentral:lncRNA from 1 species
GCCUCUGGGAUGUGGGCGUCCCAGACAAAGCCGCAUUGAUUGCAGCCCAGGCCGGCCCGGCCGCGAGGCCGCAAGCACUGGGUGGACCGUCGGACGGAUCGCGGGACCGAACGACGGACGCCCGGGGCCGGCGUGGGGCUGGUCGGCUGCCCGGGGCGAGGGCGGGAGACUUCCUGCUCAAGGGUGGGACGAGGUCCAGGACAUGAGAACUGGACUGGUAACUUGCACACUUGAGCUCUGAUUCUGACAUUUGUGAACUGUGUGACUUGGGACAAACUCCUUCAGUUUCCUUAUCUGUGGAGUGGAUGUUACGAUACCUUGCUCUGCUUCCUUCCAGGUUGUGGAAAUCAUAUGAGUUCCCUGCUAGUGACAUUGGAGUGCACAGAUGAAUAUCGACAAGGCUCCAGGGAGUUCUGAACAGAGGCCAAGGCAGGCCCUGGAGCUGUAUGCUGCUUACAGGAAAAGAGAAAGAGGGGACCCCAAUAGUCUAGGUCCCUGGAUCCUCUGACCCGGGGCCUGACACUGUCAGGGAAGCUGCUGUCUCCCUAGGGACCUACUGAAUGUUCUUCCCAUGGCUGGUCAGUGCUGACACCUCAACACAGGAAGAGAAAUACUCCUAUGAAGUCAUCUGAAGCCUGGUCAUGCCAGGGACACUUCACGAAGGCAGGAACAGUCCUGUUUCUAAAAGCCCAAAAUCUAACAGCCUCUCUACAGAUAUAAAAGCCCAAAGACAUGGAAAGUUUGUAUGCAGACAACCCUAGAAGUAAGGAAAAGUGAAUGACAUAUAUGUCAAUGCCCAGAAAGUUCCUUGAGAUCAGACACUGUACAUUUAUGGGAUACUUUCUAAGUGCCAGCUACUGUACUUGGUGCUGGAUCAGUGCAUCCAUUUCCCGGGGCUCCCGUGAUGAAGUGCCACAAACUGGAUGGCUUUAAACAACAGAAGUUUACUCUCUCACAGUUCUGAAGGUUAGAAGUCUGCCAUGAAGAUGUGAGCACAGCCAGCCUCUCUCCAAAGGCUCCAGAGGAGAAUCCUUCCUUGCUUCUUCCCAGAGCUCCUUGGCAUACAGCUGCAUUACUCCAAGAUUUGCCUCUCUUGUCACACAGCAUUCUGCCUGUGUCUCUUGUUUGUGUUCAAGUAUCCCUCCACCCUAAUUUAGUAUGACCUCAUUUUAGCUUGAUUAUGCCUGCAAAUACCCUAUUUCCAAAUGAGGUCACAUUCACAGGUACCAGAAGUUAUGAAUUGAACACAUCUUUUUUGGGAUGUGUUCUACCCAUUAUAAUUCAUUCUACCCACUAUAAUCACAAGUGGCUUUGACAUUCAGUGACACAAAGAUGAUAAGGACUCGGUUCCUGACCUCAGGACAUUCUCAGUCUAUCAGUGAAGACAAACACAUGCUGGUGAACACACACACAUACACAAGCACACAUAUACCCCGAGCCUCAUUCAAGUCAGACUGUGAUUAAAAAUGGAAAUUGUGUCAUCAGGAGGGAUUGGGGAAGUCUUCACACAAGAAAGAACAUCUAAGUUGGGCCUUGAAGGGUAAGUGGAAUUCAACUGUCAGAAAGGGUGUAAGGGCAUCCAGCUAUAGGACACAGCAUAAACAAAGACAUUGGGACAUAAACAUGAAAGGUGUGUGUGGAACAGAGAGAAGACUAGUCUGCGUGAAGCAUUGAGCCCCUUCCAAGGCUGAAAAGAAAGGUUGGAGACAGGUAGUAAGGACUUUGUGUGUUGUGCUAAAGAGUCAGUCAGCCUUGGCCGGUUAUGGAGACUCACACGUGUAAUCCCAGCAUUUUAGGAGGCUGAGGCGGGCAGAUCACUUGAGGUCAGGAGUUCAAGACCAGCCUGGGCAACAUGGCAAAACCCCAUCUCUACUAAAAAUACAAAAAAUGAGCUGGGCGUGGUGGCACACAUCUGUAAUCCCAGCUAUUUGGGAGGCUGAGGCAAAAGAAUCACUUGAACCUAGGAGGCAGAGAUUGCAGUGUGCCAAGAUCACACCACUGAACUGCACUGCACUCCAGCCUUGGCAACAGAGCAAGACUCUGUCUCAAAAAAAAAAAAAAGCCUUUAUCCUGUAGAAUUAAGUUGAAUAUAGAAAAUGAGAAGGGUUUGGAGGCAGUGUGGCAAGAGAUCACACUGGAAGGGAGACAGCUUAGGGGGCUAUUUUUUAUAGUCAACAAAAGAAAUGAAGGCCCUGAGCAAGGGCACCAGGAGGAUGGGGAGGAGAAGGUGUUGGCAGGAGUUUUGGAAGGCUGGAUGGCCAGGACUGAGUUGAUUGACUACGGCUUGUGAGGGAGGAGAAAUCUAGGUGACUCCCAUCUCCCUGCUGGAGGGACUGGGUGAAUGAGAUGCCAUUGAUGAGACAGGGAUGUGAGAGCAGGAGAUCUAGGGAGGGGUGACUUUAGACCACCGAGGGUUUCUCAGCCUCAGCAUUAUGGCCAUUUCAGCCUGAUAAUUCCUUGUCGGGGGCUGUCUGUGCAUUGUGAGAUGGUCACCAGCAUCCUUGGCCUCUACUCAUUUGAAUUUAACAUCCCUGAAGACAGCCGGAUGGAGCUGCCCAAUAGAUGGUUGGGUGUUGGAGCGGGGGAGCUCAGGAGACAGCUUUGCAUUGUGUUUUCCAUAGCAUGCAAGGGCCCUUGCUGAGUAGGAAGGAGGAGGGAAUGACUCCUUGUGAGCAGCGAGGUUGGAGUUCAAGUUAUCUGUGCCCAUGCCCUGGCUCCCCAAGCAUCUUGUGGGUGCCUUGAGAAGAAAAAGAAUGUCUUAUUUGCCUCAGUAUCCCCUCAAUACUAUGCCUGGCAGAGUUGGUGCUUAAUAAAGGUUUAGAGAAUUGCACUAACUUGAUUUGGAAAGAACAGGAAAACCCAAAUAGCCUGAGAGCCCCUGCCAAGAGUAACAUUUGGAAGCUGAGUCAGGAAGAAGCUGAGAUCAGGUGAGGUUAAGUAUCCAGGAUCUCUGGUCUCCAGGAUCUGCCAAAACCAGGAUGUGGAGCAUCAGCAACUGUCAUAGUUGUUGAUGGGAGUGUAAGUGGUACAACUAGCAAAGGUGGGGAUGUCAUUCUUGUCGACCCAACAGUUGCACUCCUGGGUAGAGAAGCUCUUGAACAUGAGCAUCAGAAGUGAGACUCAUGAAUAUUCAAAUCAGCACAAUUGGUAGUGGCAGAGAUCUAAAUGUCUAUCAGCAGGAAAGGGAAUGAAUGGUGUUUUCAUCAUUUCAUCAUUUCAUGGCAGUGAAAAUGAAUGAACUACAAUUAUCAAUAGGGAUGAAUUUACAACCUUAACAUUGAAGGGGAAAAAGCAAAAUGCAUGCACUUAAGUAAGGUUUACAAAAAGAUCCAAAACUGAAUGAUGUAUUAGGAAUUCAUAAAUACGUAGUAACAUUAUGAAGAGAACCAAGAGAAUAACAAACACAAAAUUGAGGAUUGUAUUUACCUUUGUGGAGAGGAAGGGGUUGUGAUUGGGGAGGGACGCAUAAGGGCUUCAAAAGUAUGUGCCAUAUCCUAGUUCUUAAAAUGAGUGGUUGGCAGAUGGGUGUUCACUUUACGAUUCUUUAUACGUACAUUAAAAACGUAUGCGUGUCCUGGUUACUUCCUCCAGGGACAUUCCACCAGGCAGGGCUUAGCACAACUGGGAAUUCCCUGGUCAAAGUCAGGGAAUUUCAAGAUUUUUCAGCCAGUGGUUGGGCAAGGGGUCAUCUCUCUCGUCCCCUCCCUCGAGGUUCUGAGGAGCCUCAGAACAGACGUUCAACCUCUGGAAUCCCCCAGAAAAAAGACUCAUAGGGCAGCUUCCCCUUUCUCGGACAGGACAGAGUGGAGAUCCAGGGGGAUCCCCAGCCCCAACCAGCUGGCUCGAGGUCACAUCCUGAUAUUUCAGUUCUGUUCCCAUUCAUGUGUCUCAGCUGAGCAACUGCCAUGCUUGUGGCACUCUUAGGGGAAGGGAAGAAAUGAAUGAGGUGAUAAGACCCACGCCCUAAAGAAUCCAGGGCAGUAAGCUCCCUGGCUUUCGGUUUUUACAAACUAAUAAUAUUGUGUAAUAUAAAUACUGACAUUGUGCUGCCACCAUUUUAUUUUGUGAAGUAAGAGCAUUAGAAAACAAUUGCCACCUACUGUCCUCCUAUUCCAUAAGUAAGGGCUAAUUUAAUACUCCAGUAAUAAAACAAAGGCAUGCAUGCUUUUAGAUCAGAGGAAGGUCGUUUCCACUGAAUACAUUUAGCUUUAUGAAAAUCUCACUACAUUUGUGGCCCUGGUUUCCUCCUUGUGGGGUGGAGCAGUUGAAAUUUAGGUCACAAAGAGCCAGUCAGGAGAAGAGCAUCUGGGAGGCACUAGUACAGGGGACACACAGGUGUCUGUGACACUCAGGGCGGGCAGACAGGUCAUCACCCUGCAUUCUGCAUGCCCACGCAUACACACCAUGCUCACCCCUUCUGAUGAACAGGCACAAGCGUUCACACACACGCUCCUCCCCCAGGGGCUCCCAGGUUGGAACACCUCCCCUGACUGCCAGGCAAAGCCAUACCUCUCUCCUGAACCCAGGGCAAAGGGCCAGGCUCACCCAGCCUGUGCCAACCAGUGAGAGAGGCCAAUGGUUGGCACUGGAGCCAGUUGGGGUGCUGAGUUGAGGCCAGAGAUGGGCAGCCUGUUCAGAUCCCUGGGCGUUUGCCUCUGGCCAGGAGACCAAAGCCCUGUCCACAUCCAAUUUCCUCAGACUGGGAGUCUGGGGACCUACUUCCUAGCUCCAGUUAGGUUUGUGACCUUGAGCAAGUCACCCUCCCUCUCUGGUCCUUCGGACAUUGACCGCAGUGCUCUGGGCCAGUGCUAUGGGGUUUUCGAGGCUCACCCUGCUCAGCCUUCGUCUCAGGGGACCCACAAGCCAGCCUAGAAGUGUGUCUUGGAAGGAAGAGAAAACCCUUGCCCGUCACCUUUAAUGAAAGACCCACAGGCAGACAAGCUUUGGGGAUGUCUGAGGAAAGAGACCUGAUGGGGGUCAGGAGCAGAAGCUGCCAUUAGCACUGGUCCCAGCGAACUGUCCUGGGCUUCCGCAGCUUGGUCACCCACCUGGAACGAAGCUAACCCCCCCGCCCCCGGCUGCCCAGCCCAGAGACUUGUGGGGAGUAUGACUCACUUCGCGGGGGGCCAUUGUGGCUAAUGUUUAACUCUGCCCCUCCUUCAGCAAGGCACUUUAGCCCCAGCAGCCCUUAGCGCUGGGCCCUGCCCUGAUCAUGCCUGCUGCUGAGUGGGCUCAGACACACAGCUGAGCUUGGCCUCCUUGCGCCGUGGGGACCGGGCACCCUGUGGGGAAAGGUGGGAGCAACAGCUGGUCUCCCAAGGGCUCUGGGACAGGCAAGAGUGUAGCAGGUGGCAUCCUGCCCUGGUCAUUCCUACCAAGCAGAGAGGAGCACCAGGCCCAUCUCCACCAGCUGCAGAGAGAGGGGGUGCCCACCCAGCUAUUGUGUGCUGAUUAGUAAUAGAUAUCCCCCAAGUAGCACCCUAUCCCUCCACUCUCAGCCAGGGCCCCAUGUUGGAGGAAGGCCUCACCUUAGCCCAUCUGUAUGUCACCUGCAUCUCCUUUGAAUGUUUCCCCUUUGGUGCGGGUGUGUGGGGACUCCCCAGGUGCAUAUGCAGGACCCUCGACCCCCAGCUGUGUCCUUCCAAGAAAGUUGGGCUCUGUUAAGGCCAGUCUGAUCUCAGAAAAGGGCAACCCCAAGGCAGAGUGACCUGAGAUCUAGUCUCCAGUCUGCAGCUAGCAAACCCUGUAACUUAGAGUGAGCUACUUGAACUCUCCAGGCCUCCAUUUCCUCAUCUGUAAAUUUGAGCUAACAAAUGUACCAUUUUUGUGAGAAUGCAAUGAUAUAACUCAGAUAAAGCAUUUAA